rnacentral:rRNA from 1 species
GAUGAACGCUGGCGGCGUGCCUAAUACAUGCAAGUCGAACGCAUUGUUCUUCACCGAGUGCUUGCACUCACCGAAGACAAUGAGUGGCGAACGGGUGAGUAACACGUGGGUAACCUGCCCAAAAGAGGGGGAUAACACUUGGAAACAGGUGCUAAUACCGCAUAAUUUGUUAAACCGCAUGGUUUGAUAAUGAAAGACGGCGUAAGCUGUCACUUUUGGAUGGACCCGCGGCGUAUUAGCUAGUUGGUGAGGUAAAGGCCCACCAAGGCAAUGAUACGUAGCCGACCUGAGAGGGUGAUCGGCCACAUUGGGACUGAGACACGGCCCAAACUCCUACGGGAGGCAGCAGUAGGGAAUCUUCCACAAUGGACGAAAGUCUGAUGGAGCAACGCCGCGUGAGUGAAGAAGGUUUUCGGAUCGUAAAGCUCUGUUGUUAGAGAAGAAUGUAGGUAAGAGUAACUGUUUACCUAGUGACGGUAUCUAACCAGAAAGCCACGGCUAACUACGUGCCAGCAGCCGCGGUAAU